rnacentral:rRNA from 1 species
UACAGAGGUCCCAAGCGUUGUUCGGAUUCACUGGGCGUAAAGGGUGCGUAGGUGGUUAGGUAAGUCCGAUGUGAAAUCUCCAGGCUCAACCUGGAAAUGGCAUUGGAUACUGGAAAGCUAGAGUGCGGUAGAGGGUAGUGGAAUUCCCGGUGUAGCAGUGAAAUGCGUAGAGAUCGGGAGGAACACCAGUGGCGAAGGCGGCUACCUGGACCAGCACUGACACUGAGGCACGAAAGCGUGGGGAGCAAACAGG